rnacentral:misc_RNA from 1 species
GAUGAAGAACGCAGCGAAAUGCGAUAAGUAAUGUGAAUUGCAGAAUUCAGUGAAUCAUCGAAUCUUUGAACGCACAUUGCGCCCCCUGGUAUUCCGGGGGGCAUGCCUGUCCGAGCGUCAUUACAACCCUCAAGCUCAGCUUGGUGUUGGGCCCCGCCGCCCCGGCGGGCCCUAAAGUCAGUGGCGGUGCCGUCCGGCUCCGAGCGUAGUAAUUCUUCUCGCUCUGGAGGUCCGGUCGUGUGCUCGCCAGCAACCCCCAAUUUUUUUCAGGUUGACCUCGGAUCAGGUAGGGAUACCCGCUGAACUUAAGCAUAUCAGUAAGCGGAGGA